AGUCGAACGGCAGCACGGGGGCAACCCUGGUGGCGAGUGGCGAACGGGUGAGUAAUACAUCGGAACGUGUCCUGUAGUGGGGGAUAGCCCGGCGAAAGCCGGAUUAAUACCGCAUACGCUCUACGGAGGAAAGGGGGGGAUCUUAGGACCUCCCGCUACAGGGGCGGCCGAUGGCAGAUUAGCUAGUUGGUGGGGUAAAGGCCUACCAAGGCGACGAUCUGUAGCUGGUCUGAGAGGACGACCAGCCACACUGGGACUGAGACACGGCCCAGACUCCUACGGGAGGCAGCAGUGGGGAAUUUUGGACAAUGGGCGCAAGCCUGAUCCAGCAAUGCCGCGUGUGUGAAGAAGGCCUUCGGGUUGUAAAGCACUUUUGUCCGGAAAGAAAACCUCCGCCCUAAUAUGGUGGGGGGAUGACGGUACCGGAAGAAUAAGCACCGGCUAACUACGUGCCAGCAGCCGCGGUAAUACGUAGGGUGCAAGCGUUAAUCGGAAUUACUGGGCGUAAAGCGUGCGCAGGCGGUCCGCUAAGACAGAUGUGAAAUCCCCGGGCUUAACCUGGGAACUGCAUUUGUGACUGGCGGGCUAGAGUAUGGCAGAGGGGGGUAGAAUUCCACGUGUAGCAGUGAAAUGCGUAGAGAUGUGGAGGAAUACCGAUGGCGAAGGCAGCCCCCUGGGCCAAUACUGACGCUCAUGCACGAAAGCGUGGGGAGCAAACAGGAUUAGAUACCCUGGUAGUCCACGCCCUAAACGAUGUCAACUAGUUGUCGGGUCUUCAUUGACUUGGUAACGUAGCUAACGCGUGAAGUUGACCGCCUGGGGAGUACGGUCGCAAGAUUAAAACUCAAAGGAAUUGACGGGGACCCGCACAAGCGGUGGAUGAUGUGGAUUAAUUCGAUGCAACGCGAAAAACCUUACCUACCCUUGACAUGUAUGGAAUUCUGCCGAGAGGUGGGAGUGCCCGAAAGGGAGCCAUAACACAGGUGCUGCAUGGCUGUCGUCAGCUC
rnacentral:rRNA from 1 species